CUACGGGCGGCUGCAGUGGGGAAUAUUGGACAAUGGGGGAAACCCUGAUCCAGUAAUGCCGCGUGUGUGAAGAAGGCCUGCGGGUUGUAAAGCACUUUCGGUUGGGAGGACUGCUUCUAGCACUAAUAUUGUUGGAAGUUGACGUUACCUUCAGAAGAAGCACCGGCUAACUCUGUGCCAGCAGCCGCGGUAAUACGGAGGGUGCAUGCGUUAAUCGGAAUUACUGGGCGUAAAGCGCGCGUAGGCGGCUAGAUCAGUCGGGUGUGAAAGCCCCGGGCUUAACCUGGGAACUGCAUCCGAUACUGUCUAGCUUGAGUACAGGAGAGGAGAGUGGAAUUCCACAUGUAGCGGUGAGAUGCGUAGAUAUGUGGAGGAACACCAAUGGCGAAGGCAGCUCUCUGGCCUGAUACUGACGCUGAGGUGCGAAAGCGUGGGGAGCAAACAGGAUUAGAUACCCCUGUAGUC
rnacentral:rRNA from 1 species